AACUAGCCACAUCUCUAAGGAGCUCUCAUUCCUGUUAAUGAAGAAUGAUAUUUACAAACCAAAAUCCAGGAACUAGGAUUUCAAAGAGAGGCUGUUUGCUUGACUGAAGGAAGUGCCUUUUGACAGAAGAUGCAAUUUAUGUUAUAUGAAUGAUAUUUCUGAUGGCCAAAAGGACCUGUGAUAGCCUGAGAGUCAAAGACAAGCAGGAACGCAUCUGUAGUCAAACAAGGUCAGGUUUAUUUAGUGGACUGCAUCAAAUAAGAACACCCCCAAAUAGGAACUUGGGGCACCUCAGUAAUGGAGAUUUCACAGGAGUUGUUUAUAUGUUUGUGCUUGUGCUUGAUAUUCCCAAGGCAGAUAUGGAAUGAAUCCUGGCUUGGAUUGGUUCUUGUCAACAAGGAGGAGCAGGUUAGCAAUCAGAUUCUCGGUAUUCAUUGUUCAGGUGGUGCUGUAUGUCCCCUCCAAAAGCAUGUUGAAAUUUAAUUGCCAAUAUAAUUGUAUUGUGAGGUAGGACCUUUAAGAGGGGUUUGGCUCAUUGAAGCUCCACCCUCAUGAAUAGAUUAAUGUCAUUAUCGUGGGAGUGGGAUUGUUAUCAUGGGAAUGGGCUCCUGAUAAAAGAGUGGUUUCUGCCUGAUCUCCUCUUUCCCUCUCUCGCAUGCUCACUUGCCCUUCCACCAUAUUAUGAUGCAGCAGGAGGGCCCUCACCAGAUGCUGAUAACAUUUUUUUAACUUCUCAGCCCUCAAAACUGUGAAGAAUAAUUUCUUUCUUUUAUACAUCACCUAGUCUGUGCUAUUCUGUUAUAGCAGAAGACAAUAAACUAAGACAGACAUCGGGAAAACAACACGGGCUUGGGGACAUCAUUUAUAAGAAAGUGAUAAUCACUCAGAGAAAAAAAUGAUUAGUCAUAUUUUCAGCUAUAGUGUGGCCUUUUGUAUAAGCACUGUAUACAAAAAUGCUAUAUCCCAUUGGAAGCAUUUUUUUUUUUUUUUGAGAAGGAGUCUCACUCUGUAACUCAGGCUAGAGUGCAGUGGCACGAUCUCGGCUCACUGCAACCUCCUCCUCCUGGGGUCAAGCGAUUCUCCUGCCUCAGCCUCCCGAGUAGCUGGGACUACAGGUGUGCACCACCGGGCCCAGGUAAUUUUUUUGUAUUUUUGGUAGAGACAGGAUUUUACCAUGUUGGCCAGGCUGGUCUCGAACUCCUGACCUUUUCACUUUCUCAAAAAGAAUAUUGUGACACAACCAUGAAGUGAAGAGUUCUAAGAUCCAACAUAGUCUCACUGAGUUGAUGCAUGUUUUUACCUGACUUCUGAUCAUUUUAUAAACAAUUAAAAUAGUACAGCGGGACAGGACCUUAGAAAUUGUCAUUAUAUGUAUGGAGAGCCUGGAGCACAUUCCCAGGGUCUGCCAAGCAGUUUGUGCCAAAAGAAGGAUUAGGACCCAGAUCUCUGACAAUUAGACAAGGAUCCUUCACAGGACAUCUAUUUUCAUCCUGGUACACACACACACACCUGUACCAAUUUCAGGGGUAAAGUAUUUUGCAAGUGAUUUACUACUAAUAAGAGUGAAAAUACUGGAGUGAUUCUCUAUUACUGUUUUCUCACUGUAAAAAUUUCAAGCAUACAAUCAUAAUAAAGUUAUCUCUUUACUUCAAUCUCCUUUCUCAUCUCCAUAUGGAUAAAUAUGUGUAUCUGACUAUUAUAUUAAAGUAAUGAUAUAGUAGUACAUAUUGUUUUGCUGUUGGCUUUUCCCAAUUAAUAACACACUUUGGAUACUGUUCUGUGUCAGUGUCAAUAAAAUCUGUAAACAUAGAUAACAUUAUUUUAUUAUUUUACAAGGUGAAGAUGUCCUUAAUGAUAUUCAAUAUACUUUUCUACAUUUACAGACUAUGUACAUUUUGUAGAUAGAACUUUUUUAUUAAAAUUAACGUUAUUAACCAUUUAUUUAAAAUACUCACAAAUAUUUUUAUUCAAAAAUUAUCUUGAGUAGUAAGGUUAUUGAGAUGCACAAUAAAUGAGCUACGUACUGCUUAUGAGAGAUGGUAGGCCAUUCUUUCUGUGGAUCAUAAGAAAUAUUUUAAAUAAAUAAAUAGUUUGAAU
rnacentral:lncRNA from 1 species